rnacentral:rRNA from 1 species
UACGGGGGGAGCAAGGCGUUGUUCGGAUUUACUGGGCGUAAAGAGCGCGCAGGCGGUCGUCCAAGUCGCGUGUGAAAGCCCCCGGCUCAACCUGGGGAGGGUCACGCGAUACUGAUCGACUCGAAGGCAGGAGAGGGAAGUGGAAUUCCCGGUGUAGUGGUGAAAUGCGUAGAUAUCGGGAGGAACACCAGUGGCGAAGGCGACUUCCUGGCCUGUUCUUGACGCUGAGGCGCGAAAGCUAGGGGAGCAAACGGGG